CUUCCGUAGGUGAACCUGCGGAAGGAUCAUUACCGAGUGUAGGGUUCCUAGCGAGCCCAACCUCCCACCCGUGUUUACUGUAACCUUAGUUGCUUCGGCGGGCCCGCCUUUAAGGCCGCCGGGGGGCAUCAGCCCCCGGGCCCGCGCCCGCCGGAGACACCACGAACUCUGUCUGAUCUAGUGAAGUCUGAGUUGAUUGUAUCGCAAUCAGUUAAAACUUUCAACAAUGGAUCUCUUGGUUCCGGCAUCGAUGAAGAACGCAGCGAAAUGCGAUAACUAGUGUGAAUUGCAGAAUUCCGUGAAUCAUCGAGUCUUUGAACGCACAUUGCGCCCCCUGGUAUUCCGGGGGGCAUGCCUGUCCGAGCGUCAUUGCUGCCCAUCAAGCACGGCUUGUGUGUUGGGUCGUCGUCCCCUCUUCGGGGGGGACGGGCCCCAAAGGCAGCGGCGGCACCGCGUCCGAUCCUCGAGCGUAUGGGGCUUUGUCACCCGCUCUGUAGGCCCGGCCGGCGCUUGCCGAACGCAAAACAACCAUUCUUUCCAGGUUGACCUCGGAUCAGGUAGGGAUACCCGCUGAACUUAAGCAUAUCAAUAAGCGGAGGA
rnacentral:rRNA from 1 species